rnacentral:lncRNA from 1 species
AUCUUUUGAAAGCUUUUAUAGUUUCAAUAAAUACUAGAAAACCAUUUCUAGCUGUUUAGAGUUGUUGGAGAGGGAUUAAAUGGCAUUGAAUAUAUUUUUUGAGACUAAAAAAAUUAGCCAUUAUGAUUUGUUAGGGCCCAAGAGUUGACAAUAGUAUCACCCCCUAUCCCAGGAGUUGACACAGGGGCCGCUCCUAUAUAAAAACAGAAAGCUAGCUCAAUAUUUGGCCUUGUAGCACAAUAGGAGUUGACCCUAAGAUUGCCUACUAGCCUAAGGGUCGAUACAGGAGUCACCUCCUAUGGUGUGCCAUGCUAGCUUCCCCAAAAUCAAAGAGGAUGACCCAGAGGUCACCCUCUAAGUUUCAGGGAUCAGUUCUUGAUAUCUAAAAAGAGGAUUUUUUAUAUUUUUGAUCUUUGAAUAUCAUGAAAUUGCCUUCUAUGCUUUCAAAGUCAUCUUGGAAUGCUUUUGAGGCUCUCGAAGCCUAUCACCCUUGUCUUUAACUUAGAAAACUUGAAGCUUUGGCCUUGUCCAUACAUCUUUAAUCGCUCAAACUUCUUGGGCUUUCCUGAAAUGUACUUUUAAACUACUCUAAAAAUAUGUAAUCAUUAGUAUUUCUUUCAAAUAUUUUAUAAUUAUCAAAAUUAAUUCUUGGAUUAUAAUCUUUUAAUUUUUGAUGAUGACAAAAAUAUGAAGUAUAAGUAGAAUAAAGCAAGUAAAGCAUGGGAGUAAAAUAAUGCUAUUUAAAAGUAU